GGGGUAUCGCCAAGCGGUAAGGCACCGGAUUCUGAAUUCCGGCAUUCCGAGGUUCGAAUCCUCGCUACCCCA
rnacentral:tRNA from 1 species